UCACUAGUAGAUGGACCUGCGUUGUAUUAGCUAGUUGGUGAGGUAACGGCUCNCCAAGGCGACGAUACAUAGCCGACCUGAGAGGGUGAUNGGCCNCNCUGGGACUGAGACNCGGCCCAGACUCCUACGGGAGGCAGCAGUAGGGAAUNUUNGGCAAUGGGGGCAACCNUGACCGAGCAACGCCGCGUGAGUGAAGAAGGUUUUCGGAUNGUAAANCUCUGUUGU
rnacentral:rRNA from 1 species